rnacentral:rRNA from 1 species
UACGUAGGGCGCGAGCGUUGUCCGGAAUUAUUGGGCGUAAAGAGCUCGUAGGCGGCCUGUUGCGUCCGCUGUGAAAUCCCGGGGCUCAACCCUGGGCGUGCAGUGGAUACGGGCAGGCUGGAGGCAGGCAGGGGAGAACGGAAUUCCCGGUGUAGCGGUGAAAUGCGCAGAUAUCGGGAGGAACACCGGUGGCGAAGGCGGUCUGCUGGGCAGUUUCUGACACUGAGGCGCGACAGCGUGGGGAGCAAACGGGG